rnacentral:lncRNA from 1 species
UCUUUUUGUUAGCAAAAUCUUUGUCCUUGUUUAAAUUAAGAAUUUCUCUUGAGAAAUAAUUGAGGCUAGUUUGAAUAUACUCUAGCUAGGAAAGAUUUGGUACUUAAGCUGUCCAUUGUGACACACCUCUCUUUCCUGGGAGUGGACCCAAACAAAACCUCUCUUAUCUCUUAUUUGAAAUCUUUCUCUAAGGCAAGAACAAAAGAAAAAAAAAGGGAAAAAAGAAAUAAAAAACAAAGAAACAACUCCAAGC